UUUGUUAAGUUCUUAAGAAACGAACUCGUAUCAUUUAAGGGUUUCGAAGGUAUAUUCAUCUGAGUUGGAAUAGAAGAGGCCACUAGCUCUGAUUCAGUGUCAGAAUUUUGAAACAUUUGGGUUUCUUGUUUUGGUAUUUAGGAACCAGUGGAAGGAUGGACUGUGGUUGGUUGUGAAGUUGUUUGGAGACUGGAAAUUGGAUAUUGAGAUGAAGAUGGGGUGUACAUAUUUGGCUUUUUUCUUAACUGGGGGAAAAACAUUGCUUUAGGAAAAUUUCUUUCCUGUUCAAAUGUUCUUAAUGGUUUGAAACUAAAAUUUCUGGAAGAAGUGAUACCAAUGGCUAGGUAAAGAGCUCUUGUGGGAUGAAAAGGGUCUGGAUUUCUUAAAGUGGUAUAAGCCUGGGCAUGUGGGAUUGGUAACAAAGGUUGGUACUGUGAUUGGUAUUGGUACUGAGGAUAUUGGGAUUGGUAUUGUGAUUUCCAAAGGUCUUUUUC
rnacentral:lncRNA from 1 species